UACGGAGGGUGCAAGCGUUAUCCGGAUUCACUGGGUUUAAAGGGUGCGUAGGUGGGCAGGUAAGUCAGUGGUGAAAUCUCCGGGCUUAACCCGGAAACUGCCAUUGAUACUAUUUGUCUUGAAUAUCGUGGAGGUGAGCGGAAUAUGUCAUGUAGCGGUGAAAUGCUUAGAUAUGACAUAGAACACCCAUUGCGAAGGCAGCUCACUACACGAUUAUUGACGCUGAGGCACGAAAGCGUGGGGAGCAAACAGG
rnacentral:rRNA from 1 species